AGAGUUUGAUCAUGGCUCAGAGUGAACGCUGGCGGCAUGCCUAACACAUGCAAGUCGAACGGUAACAGGCCCGCAAGGGUGCUGACGAGUGGCGGACGGGUGAGGAAUACAUCGGAAUUUGCCCAGUCGUGGGGGAUAACGUAGGGAAACUUACGCUAAUACCGCAUACGACCGAGAGGUGAAAGCGGGGGACCGUAAGGCCUCGCGCGAGUGGAUGAGCCGAUGUCGGAUUAGCUAGUUGGCGGGGUAAAGGCCCACCAAGGCGACGAUCCGUAGCUGGUCUGAGAGGAUGAUCAGCCACACUGGGACUGAGACACGGCCCAGACUCCUACGGGAGGCAGCAGUGGGGAAUAUUGGACAAUGGGGGCAACCCUGAUCCAGCAAUGCCGCGUGUGUGAAGAAGGCCUUCGGGUUGUAAAGCACUUUUAUCCGGAACGAAACGCGCAGGGUGAAUAGCCUUGUGAACUGACGGUACCGGAGGAAUAAGCACCGGCUAACUUCGUGCCAGCAGCCGCGGUAAUACGAAGGGUGCAAGCGUUACUCGGAAUUACUGGGCGUAAAGCGUGCGUAGGUGGUUUGUUAAGUCCGUUGUGAAAGCCCUGGGCUCAACCUGGGAAUGGCAGUGGAUACUGGCGAGCUAGAGUGCGGUAGAGGGUAGUGGAAUUCCCGGUAGCAGUGAAAUGCGUAGAGAUCGGGAGGAACACCAGUGGCGAAGGCGGCUACCUGGACCAGCACUGACACUGAGGCACGAAAGCGUGGGGAGCAAACAGGAUUAGAUACCCUAGUAGUCC
rnacentral:rRNA from 1 species